AUUGAACGCUGGCGGCAUGCUUUACACAUGCAAGUCGAACGGUAACAGGCCGCAAGGUGCUGACGAGUGGCGAACGGGUGAGUAAUGCAUCGGAACGUGCCCAGUCGUGGGGGAUAACGCAGCGAAAGCUGCGCUAAUACCGCAUACGAUCUAUGGAUGAAAGCGGGGGACCGAAAGGCCUCGCGCGAUUGGAGCGGCCGAUGUCAGAUUAGGUAGUUGGUGAGGUAAAGGCUCACCAAGCCAACGAUCUGUAGCUGGUCUGAGAGGACGACCAGCCACACUGGGACUGAGACACGGCCCAGACUCCUACGGGAGGCAGCAGUGGGGAAUUUUGGACAAUGGGCGCAAGCCUGAUCCAGCAAUGCCGCGUGCAGGAAGAAGGCCUUCGGGUUGUAAACUGCUUUUGUACGGAACGAAACGGUCCGGGUUAAUACCCUGGGCUAAUGACGGUACCGUAAGAAUAAGCACCGGCUAACUACGUGCCAGCAGCCGCCGUAACAC
rnacentral:rRNA from 1 species